AUUGACCGCUGGCGGCAGGCCUAACACAUGCAAGUCGAGCGGAGCAGCGGACGGGUGAGUAAUGCCUAGGAAUCUGCCUGGUCGUGGGGGAUAAGGUCCAGAAACGGGAGCUGAUACCGCAUACUAUCAGAUGAGCCUAGGUCGGAUUAGCUAGGUGGUGGGGUAAAGGCCUCCCAAGGCGACGAUCCGUCACGGGUCUGAGAGGAUGAUGAGGCACACUGGAACUGAGACACGGUCCAGACUCCUACGGGAGGCAGCAGUGGGGAAUAUUGGACAAUGGGCGAAAGCCUGAUCCAGCCAUGCCGCGGGUGGGAAGAAGGUCUUCGGAUUGUAAAGCACUUUAAGUUGGGAGGCGUUACCAACAGAAUAAGCACCGGCUAACUGCGUGCCAGCAGCCGCGGUAAUAC
rnacentral:rRNA from 1 species